rnacentral:rRNA from 1 species
UAAGUGGGUGGUAAAUUCCAUCUAAAGCUAAAUAUUGGCGAGAGACCGAUAGCGAACAAGUACAGUGAUGGAAAGAUGAAAAGAACUUUGAAAAGAGAGUGAAAAAGUACGUGAAAUUGUUGAAAGGGAAGGGCUUGAGAUCAGACUUGGUAUUUUGCAUGCUGCUCUCUCGGGGGCGGCCGCUGCGGUUUACCGGGCCAGCAUCGGUUUGGAGCGGCAGGAUAAUGGCGGAGGAAUGUGGCACGGCUUCUGCUGUGUGUUAUAGCCUCUGACGAUGCUGCCAGCCUAGACCGAGGACUGCGGUUUUUAACCUAGGAUGUUGGCAUAAUGAUCUUAAGUCGCCCGUCUUGAAACACGGACCAAGGAGUCUAACGUCUAUGCGAGUGUUUGGGUGUAAAACCCGUACGCGUAAUGAAAGUGAACGAAGGUGGGGGCCCAUUAGGGUGCACCAUCGACCGAUCCUGAUGUGUUCGGAUGGAUUUGAGUAAGAGCAUAGCUGUUGGGACCCGAAAGAUGGUGAACUAUGCCUGAAUAGGGUGAAGCCAGAGGAAACUCUGGUGGAGGCUCGUAGCGGUUCUGACGUGCAAAUCGAUCGUCGAAUUUGGGUAUAGGGCGAAAGA